AUUGGAUAACUCAGGGACAAAAGACCUCUGUGCUCCUCCGCUAUCGGACCAACGAAAAGGUCUCCUUCCAAAGCACCAGCCAUCACACGAACAUGUUUUGGCCUUCCGAUGCUGUUAUGCAUAAAAUUAUGCAGGUGAACUGAGAAGUUGGCUGUGCAUCGGAUAUGUCGCGACCCACAAAAAAGUUGAUCGAUCGAUUCCGACUCCUUCACGAGGAUUUCAAACAAUGAUGAGAACGCGACUAUCUUUGCUGCUCGCUCUGCUGGUGGACGUUGUGCUUGAUUCUCCAGGACCACCGCCGCCUCCGGUAUCUCCGUUGAUACUUGAGCCAGCUAGCGAAGCCGUAGGUGUAGCAGGUGCCGAACGCCGUCUGACUUUUG